CAGCCGCCGCGGUAAUACGAAGGGUGCAAGCGUUAAUCGGAAUUACUGGGCGUAAAGCGUGCGUAGGCGGUUUGUUAAGUCUGUUGUGAAAUCCCCGGGCUCAACCUGGGAAUGGCAAUGGAUACUGGCAAGCUAGAGUGUGUCAGAGGAUGGUGGAAUUCCCGGUGUAGCGGUGAAAUGCGUAGAGAUCGGGAGGAACAUCUGUGGCGAAGGCGACUAUCUGGGCCAACACUGACACUGAGGCACGAAAGCGUGGGGAGCAAACAGGAUUAGAUACCCCAGUAGUCCCUGUCUCUUAUAC
rnacentral:rRNA from 1 species